ensembl:lncRNA
UCUUUAUCAGACCCAGGAAAACCUAAACAACAGUUAAACAACACAAGUGAACCGACUGACACAGACUUGUGUACUUGUCAACUGACCGCUCAUCUUCGACAGUUACAGAUGCUUCCUCUUUAUCAGACCCAGGAAAACCUAAACAACAGUUAAACAACACAAGUGAACCGACUGACACAGACUCAGUGAAAACUGCGGUUAGUGUUGGUGUGCCGUUGGCGGUGGUGCUACUGCUGUUGGUGCCGUUGGCGGCGUUGGCGGUGUGGCUCUGUCGACGAAAAAAGAAACCGACGGUCAGGACUGAAGACGGGGCUCUCCCUGAGCAGACUGCGGCACAACCUGAAGCACAAUCACUGCUAAGUGGAACCAGUAGAUUUCGUCCGGGGGCUUUUUCUGCGGACUACAGCGCUGCUACAGAUGAUGUGACCGUGACCAUGCCAGAUGCCUUUGGAGGGAAAACACGUUUGAAUGGAGAUUGUAGAGAUUGAGGGCGAAAAUUGUAUUGAAGUAUUGGCUUUGGCCCCGUCCACACAGUCUUGUACGUUUGGUCCGACCGUCCAGACAAACCCGGAAUUUUGGAUACCUGCAAACACAUUUUUUUAAACCAGGGACCUCUACGAAUUCUCUUUUUUGCAUAGGAAAUUCCCUUCCUAUGGAGAUGACCCCGGAAGUGCUUGGAGGAAAGGUGGUUCGAAUUCUAAAAAUGCUCAAAUUCUAAAAGGAGCCUUGAUGCUUCUUUUAACCCUCCUUUAUACUCCUGAGAUUCCUUUGCGAAAGGAAAGGAGAUAGUGGUAUCCCAUAUUCCUUUACGGCGGCAAUAUUUAAAGCAACAUGCCAUCAACGAAGUUAACCGACUCUACGCAAAGACGCAUGAGAGAUGGGGGAAAGCAGAAGAAUAGAAGAGAAGAAAAUACAAUUGAUGAUACCUGAUACCAAUUCCAGAAACAUAAUUAUUUGAAUACAAAUGAAUUCAUUUAUUGCUGGUUAAUAAGCACAUAAAAUGCACCAUAAGAAAAGAAAAUGCCAACUACACACCAACCCUACCAGCUGGGCAUAGUUCGAUUUCCGUCAAAUUUGUUUGAUUUGAUUUGUAUUAUUUUUGUAGUUUUAAAUACAGCCCCUUGGUAAAUUAAUUAUUAAC